GAUUGAAAACCUAGAACUCAUCUCCUUCUCUCUCUCUCUCUAUCUCAAUUCAAGCCCUCUCUCUGUCUCUCUCAAGGAUCGAUCUUUGUGAAAAGCGUCAUUAGAGCUUCGAACCCGAGCGCAGCCACUGAGUCUUCUUCACCUGGACUCUACUCCGCCAAGAAGUACGAGCUCACCGUUCCUAACGUCGACGUGGUUCUUGAGGACGUCCGCCCCUAUCUCAUCGCUGAUGGCGGUAACGUCGACGUUGUGUCCGUUGAGGACGGCGUCGUUUCACUCAAGCUACAAGGGGCUUGUGGGAGCUGCCCUAGCUCAACGACCACCAUGAAAAUGGGAAUUGAAAGAGUGCUUAAAGAAAAGUUUGGAGAUGGGCUCAAGGAUAUUUCUUCAUCUAUGACAUCCCUAAACCCUAAAUCAAAAUCCCUCUUGAAAGCAACCUGAAAAAUCCCAGAAUUACCUGUUGCCCAGAAUCUGAGCAACCUGUCAUCUUGAAGUAUAGCCCCUAUUACCCUCUAAAGUCUAGUAUUUUAAUCCCUAAUUCAUUCUACCAUACCCUUCCCCAGCAACUACAAGCCUUGAAACCUCUAUUUGCAGCCCUAGAGCCUACGGUACAAUAGGCAAAUUUCACCAACCUGUGCUUUGUCAACCACCAUUAUAAAAACUUGUUAUAUUCCAUUUCUUUUACAGAUGAUUGCAGGAAAAUGCCACUCAAGGACCUUUAUUUUGAUUAAGAAAACUUUGAAAACACAAUCACAGAGCUUUGAGUGACAUUUGUGAAUAAAAAGAAUUAGAUCUAGCGAUUUAGGAUCGGAAAGAAAGGCCUCUCCUCUCCCUCAAUUACAUUCUUGAACUUGAAUUUGUGCUUAGGUUAGAAAUUUGUACAUGUGUGGUUCUCAAUUACAUUCUUAAUGUGCUGCUGCUUUCUUACUCUUUGUUUUGUGUUUGUAAUCUUUGAAGUACAUUUACAACUUGUAUGUGCAAUAUGUCGUGAAGAACCCGCUCUACACUUCUGGAACUCCAAUCAGGUUAGAGCAUACUUACAGCGUCAAUGGAAGCAGAUUCUAUCUGGAAGGGUGUCUCUUCAGGAUUUUGUAUCUGCAAAGGAGGUUCGCCUAGGCACCUACCGUGACUGUAUCUAUUUUUCUGUUCUUAUUUCAUUACUGUUUGUCAUGUAUUGUCUUCUUACUUGAUAUAUUUGAUUUUACACAUUGACUAAAACUUUGUUUUGGAAACAGAACUAGCUCUGUUCUUGUUUUGGCAGGAUAAACAAACAAUGUUAUUGUUAAUGGGAAAUAGCAGCAGCCCAUCAUUAGCGAAGAUUCAAAGGAAGCUAUGAAGCAUGCAUUCGAACUCUUUAAUGUUCGAUUGGAAGUAGACUUUGGGACUAGUGAUAUAGGACAUAGCUUAGGAUUGUAAUGAAUAUUUGUAAUUUAUUACAUUUGUCUUUUAUUAAUGAUGAUAUAUACUAUUCUUCGAACAACAAUUUUUCAAUUGAAAUAUUAUUUAGAUUUUUUGACAAAA